rnacentral:rRNA from 1 species
AACGAACGCUGGCGGCAUGCCUAACACAUGCAAGUCGAACGAGACCUUCGGGUCUAGUGGCGCAUGGGUGCGUAACGCGUGGGAACCUGCCCUUAGGUUCGGAAUAACUCCCCGAAAGGGGUGCUAAUACCGGAUAAUGUCUUCGGACCAAAGAUUUAUCGCCUUUGGAUGGGCCCGCGUUGGAUUAGCUAGUUGGUAGGGUAAAAGCCUACCAAGGCGACGAUCCAUAGCUGGUCUGAGAGGAUGAUCAGCCACACUGGGACUGAGACACGGCCCAGACUCCUACGGGAGGCAGCAGUGGGGAAUAUUGGACAAUGGGCGAAAGCCUGAUCCAGCAAUGCCGCGUGAGUGAUGAAGGCCUUAGGGUUGUAAAGCUCUUUUACCCGGGAUGAUAAUGACAGUACCGGGAGAAUGAGCUCCGGCUAACUCCGUG